rnacentral:rRNA from 1 species
GAAACACGGACCAAGGAGUUCAACUGGAUUGCGAGUCGUAGAGUUUAACACAAAACUCAUUUAUUUUUUAAUAAAUACGGCGUAGCGAAAGCAAAAUCGUGCGAUGUAUUUUGUAACAGAUAUACUGCAGCACAGGCUGAUUACGUAUAUGCGUAAGGACCUAGUUCAUGCGUAUACUUAAAUUCUCCUCUCGUGGGAUUAUUUAAGAUUAAUUAAGCUAAAGAGCACUUUAGUUGAGACCCGAAAGAUGGUGAACUAUGCCUGGACAUGGUGAAGCCAGGUGAAAACUUGGUGGAAGCUUGCGUUGUGCGGAACUGACGUGCAAAUCGUUGCCGCCUGACCUAGGUAUAGGGGCGAAAGACUCAUCGAACCAUCUAGUAGCUGGUUCCCUCCGAAGUUUCCCUUAGGAUAGCUCGAAUUUAUAUCAAUUACCCAAAUGAGUAACACAAGGGUAAAGCAAUGAGACGCGGUAUCUGUGGGUCUUAUUUAAAUGACCUCGGCCUUCUCUCAAACUUUAAAUCUGUGCGAGUACGUGUAUUUACUUCGAAAAUAAUAUUUAUUUAUUAUUGUGAAAUCACGUUAUAUUGUAUCAAAAAUUCGUAGUGGGCCAUUUCUGGUAAGCAGAACUGGCGAUGAGGGAUUCAACCUGACGUUCUCAAGAUAAGCCGGGCUUAAUCAUAUCUGCUCCAACCUUCCGAUAAACGCGA